rnacentral:rRNA from 1 species
UACAGAGACUGCAAGCGUUAUUCGGAUUCACUGGGCGUAAAGGGUGCGCAGGCGGCCGAGUGUGUGAGGCGUGAAAGCCCGGGGCUUAACCCCGGAAUUGCACCUCAAACUACACGGCUAGAGCAUUGGAGAGGGUAGCAGAAUUCAUGGUGUAGCAGUGAAAUGCGUAGAGAUCAGGAAGAACAUCGGUGGCGAAGGCGCUCUGCUGGACCAUAACUGACACUCAGGGACGAAAGCUAGGGGAGCGAAUGGG